rnacentral:rRNA from 1 species
GACGAACGCUGGCGGCGUGCUUAACACAUGCAAGUCGAACGGAAAGGCUCCAGCUUGCUGGAGUACUCGAGUGGCGAACGGGUGAGUAACACGUGGGUGAUCUGCCCUGCACUUCGGGAUAAGCCUGGGAAACUGGGUCUAAUACCGGAUAGGACCGCACUUUGGUGUGUGUGGUGGAAAGGUUUUUCUGGUGUGGGAUGAGCUCGCGGCCUAUCAGUUUGUUGGUGGGGUAAUGGCCUACCAAGACGGCGACGGGUAGCCGGCCUGAGAGGGUGGACGGGCACAGUGGGACUGAGAUACGGCCCAGACUCCUACGGGAGGCAGCAGGGGGGAAGAUUGAACAAUGGGGGAACCCCUGAUGCAGCGACGCCGCGUGGGGGAUGAAGGCCUUCGGGUUGUAAACUCCUUUCGCUAGGGACGAAGCUUUUUGUGACGGUACCUGGAGAAGAAGCACCGGCUAACUACGUG